AUUGAACGCUGGCGGCAUGCCUUACACAUGCAAGUCGAACGGCAGCACGGGAGCAAUCCUGGUGGCGAGUGGCGAACGGGUGAGUAAUACAUCGGAACGUGCCCAAUCGUGGGGGAUAACGUAGCGAAAGCUACGCUAAUACCGCAUACGAUCUACGGAUGAAAGCGGGGGAUCGCAAGACCUCGCGCGAAUGGAGCGGCCGAUGGCAGAUUAGGUAGUUGGUGAGGUAAAGGCUCACCAAGCCUGCGAUCUGUAGCUGGUCUGAGAGGACGACCAGCCACACUGGGACUGAGACACGGCCCAGACUCCUACGGGAGGCAGCAGUGGGGAAUCUUGGACAAUGGGCGCAAGCCUGAUCCAGCAAUGCCGCGUGCAGGAUGAAGGCCUUCGGGUUGUAAACUGCUUUUGUACGGAACGAAACGGUCCUUUCUAAUACAAGGGGCUAAUGACGGUACCGUAAGAAUAAGCACCGGCUAACUACGUGCCAGCAGCCGCCGCAG
rnacentral:rRNA from 1 species